GACGAACGCUGGCGGCGUGCUUAACACAUGCAAGUCGAACGGAAAGGCCCUGCUUUUGUGGGGUGCUCGAGUGGCGAACGGGUGAGUAACACGUGAGUAACCUGCCCUUGACUUUGGGAUAACUUCAGGAAACUGGGGCUAAUACCGGAUAGGAGCUCCUGCUGCAUGGUGGGGGUUGGAAAGUUUCGGCGGUUGGGGAUGGACUCGCGGCUUAUCAGCUUGUUGGUGGGGUAGUGGCUUACCAAGGCUUUGACGGGUAGCCGGCCUGAGAGGGUGACCGGCCACAUUGGGACUGAGAUACGGCCCAGACUCCUACGGGAGGCAGCAGUGGGGAAUAUUGCACAAUGGGCGGAAGCCUGAUGCAGCAACGCCGCGUGCGGGAUGACGGCCUUCGGGUUGUAAACCGCUUUCGCCUGUGACGAAGCGUGAGUGACGGUAAUGGGUAAAGAAGCACCGGCUAACUACGUGCCAGCAGCCGCGGUGAUACGUAGGGUGCGAGCGUUGUCCGGAUUUAUUGGGCGUAAAGGGCUCGUAGGUGGUUGAUCGCGUCGGAAGUGUAAUCUUGGGGCUUAACCCUGAGCGUGCUUUCGAUACGGGUUGACUUGAGGAAGGUAGGGGAGAAUGGAAUUCCUGGUGGAGCGGUGGAAUGCGCAGAUAUCAGGAGGAACACCAGUGGCGAAGGCGGUUCUCUGGGCCUUUCCUGACGCUGAGGAGCGAAAACGUGGGGAGCGAACAGGCUUAGAUACCCUGGUAGUCCACGCUGUAAACGGUGGGUACUAGGUGUGGGGUCCAUUCCACGGGUUCCGUGCCGUAGCUAACGCUUUAAGUACCCCGCCUGGGGAGUACGGCCGCAAGGCUAAAACUCAAAGGAAUUGACGGGGCCCCGCACAAGCGGCGGAGCAUGCGGAUUAAUUCGAUGCAACGCGUAGAACCUUACCUGGGUUUGACAUGGAUCGGGAGUGCUCAGAGAUGGGUGUGCCUCUUUUGGGGUCGGUUCACAGGUGGUGCAUGGCUGUCGUCAGCUCGUGUCGUGAGAUGUUGGGUUAAGUCCCGCAACGAGCGCAACCCUUGUUCACUGUUGCCAGCACGUUAUGGUGGGGACUCAGUGGAGACCGCCGGGGUCAACUCGGAGGAAGGUGGGGAUGACGUCAAGUCAUCAUGCCCCUUAUGUCCAGGGCUUCACGCAUGCUACAAUGGCUGGUACAGAGAGUGGCGAGCCUGUGAGGGUGUGCGAAUCUCGGAAAGCCGGUCUCAGUUCGGAUUGGGGUCUGCAACUCGACCUCAUGAAGUCGGAGUCGCUAGUAAUCGCAGAUCAGCAACGCUGCGGUGAAUACGUUCCCGGGGCU
rnacentral:rRNA from 1 species